rnacentral:rRNA from 1 species
GACGAACGCUGGCGGCGUGCUUAACACAUGCAAGUCGAACGGAAAGGCCCUGCUUUUGUGGGGUUCUCGAGUGGCGAACGGGUGAGUAACACGUGAGUAACCUGCCCUUGACUUUGGGAUAACUUCUGGAAACUGGGGCUAAUAUCCGAUAGGAGCUCUUGCAGCAUGGUGGGGGUUGGAAAGUUUCGGCGGUUGGGGAUGGACUCGCGGCUUAUCAGCUUGUUGGUGAGGUUGUGGCUUACCAAGCCUUUGACGGGUAGCCGGCCUGAGAGGGGGACCGGGCACAGUGGGACUGAGAUAGGGCCCAGACUGCAACGGGAGGCAGCAGUGGAGAAUAUUGCGCAAUGGGCGGGAGCCUGAUACAACAACGCCGCGUGCGGGAUGACUGCCUUCGGGUUAUAAACCGCUUUCGCCUGUAACGAAGCGUGAGUGACGGUAAUGGAUAAAAAAGCACCGGCUAACUACGUG